UACGUUUCCUGUUUUAAGACUGAAACACAA
rnacentral:piRNA from 1 species